GACGUAGGGCGCGAGCGUUGUCCGGAUUUAUUGGGCGUAAAGAGCUCGUAGGCGGCUUGUCGCGUCGUCCGUGAAAACCCACAGCUCAACUGUGGGCUUGCGGUCGAUACGGGCAGGCUAGAGUUCGGUGAGGGGAGACUGGAAUUCCUGGUGUAGCGGUGAAAUGCGCAGAUAUCAGGAGGAACACCGGUGGCGAAGGCGGGUCUCUGGGCCGAUACUGACGCUGAGGAGCGAAAGCGUGGGGAGCGAACAGG
rnacentral:rRNA from 1 species